UAAAAGGUGCCUGUACCGCAAACCGACACAGGUAGGCGAGGAGAGAAUCCUAAGGUGUGCGAGAGAACUCUGGUUAAGGAACUCGGCAAAAUGACCCCGUAACUUCGGGAGAAGGGGUGCUUUCUUAACGGAAAGCCGCAGUGAAUAGGCCCAAGCGACUGUUUAGCAAAAACACAGCUCUCUGCGAAGCCGUAAGGCGAAGUAUAGGGGGUGACACCUGCCCGGUGCUGGAAGGUUAAGGAGAGGGGUUAGCGUAAGCGAAGCUCUGAACUGAAGCCCCAGUAAACGGCGGCCGUAACUAUAACGGUCCUAAGGUAGCGAAAUUCCUUGUCGGGUAAGUUCCGACCCGCACGAAAGGUGUAACGAUUUGGGCACUGUCUCAACCAGAGACUCGGUGAAAUUAUAGUACCUGUGAAGAUGCAGGUUACCCGCGACAGGACGGAAAGACCCCGUGGAGCUUUACUGUAGCCUGAUAUUGAAUUUUGGUACAGUUUGUACAGGAUAGGCGGGAGCCAUUGAAACCGGAGCGCUAGCUUCGGUGGAGGCGCUGGUGGGAUACCGCCCUGACUGUAUUGAAAUUCUAACCUACGGGUCCUAUCGACCCGGGAGACAGUGUCAGGUGGGCAGUUUGACUGGGGCGGUCGCCUCCUAAAGUGUAACGGAGGCGACCAAAGGUUCCCUCAGAAUGGUUGGAAAUCAUUCGUAGAGUGCAAAGGCAUAAGGGAGCUUGACUGCGAGACCUACAAGUCGAGCAGGGACGAAAGUCGGGCUUAGUGAUCCGGUGGUUCCGCAUGGAAGGGCCAUCGCUCAACGGAUAAAAGCUACCCCGGGGAUAACAGGCUUAUCUCCCCCAAGAGUCCACAUCGACGGGGAGGUUUGGCACCUCGAUGUCGGCUCAUCGCAUCCUGGGGCUGUAGUCGGUCCCAAGGGUUGGGCUGUUCGCCCAUUAAAGCGGUACGCGAGCUGGGUUCAGAACGUCGUGAGACAGUUCGGUCCCUAUCCGUCGUGGGCGUAGGAAAUUUGAGAGGAGCUGUCCUUAGUACGAGAGGACCGGGAUGGACGCACCGCUGGUGUACCAGUUGUUCUGCCAAGGGCAUAGCUGGGUAGCUAUGUGCGGAAGGGAUAAGUGCUGAAAGCAUCUAAGCAUGAAGCCCCCCUCAAGAUGAGAUUUCCCAUAGCGUAAGCUAGUAAGAUCCCUGAAAGAUGAUCAGGUUGAUAGGUUCGAGGUGGAAGCAUGGUGACAUGUGGAGCUGACGAAUACUAAUAGAUCGAGGACUUAACCAUAUAA
rnacentral:rRNA from 2 species